rnacentral:lncRNA from 1 species
AAAUCAUUUGUGAUGUUGUAUGCCUGGUAUAUGAUGUCAGCAAUCCCAAAUCCUUUGAAUACUGUGCCAGGAUUUUUAAGCAACACUUUAUGGACAGCAGAAUACCUUGCUUAAUCGUAGCUGCAAAGUCAGACCUGCAUGAAGUUAAACAAGAAUACAGUAUUUCACCUACUGAUUUCUGCAGGAAACACAAAAUGCCUCCACCACAAGCCUUCACUUGCAAUACUGCUGAUGCCCCCAGUAAGGAUAUCUUUGUUAAAUUGACAACAAUGGCCAUGUAUCCAGAGGAUCAUUACAGAGACAGACUCUCCCGAGACAUGGGCCACACUGAUAGAAUAGAGAAUUUGAGAAAAAUCUGGGUCUUUCUAAAAACUGCUUUCCAUGCCCGGUUACGCUGUAUGUGCACCUGCAACAGGUGUACAUUUUGCAUCUGUCAGAACUUCCUCAACUCAGACUUGCUGCAAUCUGUAAAGAACAAAAUCUUCACUGCAGUUCUUAACAGUUUUAGUUCUGCCCUUUAGAACAACAUACGACUAUCCUACUCCCUCUUCAACAUAGCAAUCCUUCAGGCAUUUGAAGACGGCCAUCAUGUCUCCCCUAAUUUUCUCUUCUCCAGAAAUGAGCCAGAAGCGGCCAGGCGUGGUGGCUCACGCCUGUAAUCUCAGCACUUUCGGAAGCCGAGGUGGGUGGAUCACCUGAGAUCAGGAGAUCGAGACCAUCGUGGCCAACACGGCACGUGACACAAGCUGACCUCAAGAGCUCCACGUUUUGGCUUCGAGCAAGUUUUGGUGCUACUGUUUUUGCAGUUUUGGGCUUUGCUAUGUACAAAGCAUUAUUGAAACAGCGAUGAUAUAAAAAGAAAUACUGUCCCUACCAAAAACAAAUACUUUUAUGUACAUUCUGAAUGCUUUAAGUUCUGCUAGAAUUAUUGAGAUAUUUAUACAUGCAGAGUUACUUUAUUAAUAUUUGUAAUUCAUGCAUAAGAGUAUUUUAAUGAUAGUUAUAACUGCAGUAUUGGCUAGCAUAUGGAAAGAAAACAGCUAACAGCCAAACUAAAAUGGCUAAAUUCCAGAGGCC